AUGAAAGUUUCAAAAUGGAAGUUAGGAAUUCUUUGUUUUAUAAGUGGAUGUGUAAUGUCUGGUCAGGUGGAUGCUUGUAUUCCUGAUAGAGUUCCAAUGGGACUCUUAAUCACAGAUUGCCCUUAUCCACAACUGAAAACUCUUGAGAUGCAGAGGACUCUUGCCCUAAAAAUCAUUCUUUCCUUUUCUUUUUUUCUACCCACAGAAGCCCCAAGACAGCAACCUGCUGAACCUGAACCAGCCCCAAGGCAACAAACUAGGAAAAGUAAAGGAGAACCAGGUCCACCACCUGAAGGAGAACCAGGCGAACCACCUGAAGGAGAACCAGGUCCACCACCUGAAGGCUCUUCACUUCUUCUAAGGGAGGAGCCAUCUCAGACCUAGCCACAAGCCUACUCACACCAAUAUCUUCAAGGAGAGAAGAAGAAGAAGAAAUAGGUAUUUGGAAAGAUUUCUAUUCUUUAGAUGUGCUGAGAUCAGCUGAACAUAACAAUAUCUAAUUUUUCCACCCAUUUUAUAUUUGGGUCCCUUCAUUUCUCUUCUAUCUUCUACUUACACUUAUGAAAGCUUAAAUGUAUGGAUGAUUUUGUGAUGAAUAUGAACUCUGGCCAAGUGGAUACUUGCAUUCUUCAAGUAAUUCCACUGGUCCUUCAUCAAUAUUACUUUAUCCACAUCUGAAACCUCUUGAGAUUCAUAGGACUCUUGCCUAAACAUUACUCAUUUUUUAUUUUUUCUACCCAGGAGAACCCAGGCGAACCACCUGAAGGUAAGUAAUAUGUCAUCUCUAAACACUCCUUUCUUUCCCCUUUUCUUGAGGACCCUAGACCUUGUCCUCAUUUUAAACCAUUUGGCACUCCACUCUUAAAGUUCAGUACCAAGAAGAGAGGGUAAUAAUGAACUAACAGGGUGGUCAGCUUAAAAGGCUUGUUUUCUCU
rnacentral:lncRNA from 1 species